rnacentral:rRNA from 1 species
CGGGUUGCUGCAGCAGUAAGGAAUAUUGCGCAAUGGAGGCAACUCUGACGCAGCCAUGCCGCGUGCAGGAAGAAGGCCUUAUGGGUCGUAAACUGCUUUUAUUUAGGAAUAAACCCUCGCUCGUGAGCGAGGCUGAAGGUACUGAAUGAAUAAGCACCGGCUAACUCCGUGCCAGCAGCCGCGGUAAUACGGAGGGUGCAAGCGUUAUCCGGCUUUAUUGGGUUUAAAGGGUGCGCAGGCGGGCUAUUAAGUCAGUGGUGAAAUCCCGGGGCUCAACUCUGGAACUGCCAUUGAUACUGAUAGUCUUGAGUUUGGUUGAAGUGGGCGGAAUGUAGCAUGUAGCGGUGAAAUGCAUAGAUAUGCUACAGAACACCAAUCGCGAAGGCAGCUCACUAAGCCAAAACUGACGCUCAUGCACGAAAGCGUGGGGAUCAAACAGGAUUAGAUACCCCCGUAGUC